GUCCUCCUAAUGCUUACCACAGACAGUACACCCUUGAGUGUUGUCUGUAUAGAAACAGGAGGUACAUCAGCUUCUCCUAACAUUUGUGCAGUACUAGCUGAUCUCUAGUUACUCUAAAGUGUUGGGGGGAACAUUU
rnacentral:snoRNA from 1 species